CAGUGAUCUAUCCAUGGUCAGGUUGAAGCGCAGGUAAAAAUGCGUGGAGGACCGAACCCGUGAGUGUUGAAAAACUUUGGGAUGAACCGUGGAUAGGGGUGAAAUGCCAAUCGAACGCGGAGAUAGCUGGUACUCCCCGAAAUAGCUUUAGGGCUAGCCUCAGGGAAGAUUAUAGACGGUAGAGCACUGAUCUGGCAAGGGGGCGUAAAGCCUACCGACCCUAGUCAAACUUCGAAUGGCUAUAAUUAAGACCCUGGGAGUCAGACUGCGAGUGAUAAGACCCGUAGUCAAGAGGGAAACAGCCCAGACCGCCGACUAAGGUCCCCAAUGCUGUACUAAGUGGAAAAGGAUGUAAGACUUCAUAAACAACCAGGAUGUUGGCUUAGAAGCAGCCACCAUUAAAAGAGUGCGUAAUAGCUCACUGGUCGAGAGGCCUUGCGCCGAAGAUGUCCGGGGCUCAAGUACAGAACCGAAGUCGCGGCAGGAUUAUAUAAUUCUGGGUAGGGGAGCGUUGUAUAUCCGACUGAAGGUGUACCGGAAGGAGCGCUGGAGGAUAUACAAGAGAGAAUGCCGGUAUGAGUAGCGAAAAGAACAGUGAGAAUCUGUUCCACCGAAAGCCUAAGGUUUCCUGAGCAACGCUCGUCGACUCAGGGUAAGUCGGGACCUAAGCCGAGGCAAAAAGCAUAGGCGAUGGACAACAGGUUAAUAUUCCUGUACCGCUUCAAAUCGUUUGAGCAAUGGAGUGACACAGAAGGUAGCUUGAGCACGCGAAUGGAUGUGCGUGUCGAAGGUGGUAGGUUGCAGUAUAGGUAAAUCCGUACUGUAUAAGACCGAGAACUGAUAGAUAGACGAUACUUCGGUAAAGUCAAAUUCAAGUGAGCCAUGCUGUCGAGAAAAGCUUCUAGUGAGAGAUGAGGCGCCCGUACCGAAACCGACACAGGUAGGCGGGGAGAGAAUCCUAAGGUGCGCGGGACAACCCUCGUUAAGGAACUCGGCAAAUUGUAUCCGUAACUUAGGGAUAAGGAUAGCCGGAGGAUGUGAAGGGAUUUACUUCUGGAGCGUCAGCCGGUGGCACAAGAGAGGCCCAAGCGACUGUUUAGCACAAACACAGGUGCCUGCAAAAGAGAAAUCUGACGUAUAGGUGCUGACACCUGCCCGGUGCUGGAAGGUUAAGAGGAGGGCUUAGAGGAAACUCGAAGGCUUGAAUUGAAGCCCCAGUAAACGGCGGCCGUAACUAUAACGGUCCUAAGGUAGCGAAAUUCCUUGUCGGGUAAGUUCCGACCCGCACGAAAGGUGUAACGACUUGGGCACUGUCUCAACGAGGGACCCGGUGAAAUUGAAGUACCUGUGAAGAUGCAGGUUACCCGCGACUGGACAGAAAGACCCCAUGGAGCUUUACUGCAACCUGACAUUGAUGUUCGGUAAAUAACGUACAGGAUAGGUGGGAGACGGAGAAGUAUUGGCGUUAGCUGAUAUGGAGUCAACCUUGGGAUACCACCCUUUAUUUAUUGGACCUCUAACUGAAGAAGUAACGACUCUCAGGACAGUAUCAGGCGGGCAGUUUGACUGGGGCGGUCGCCUCCCAAAAUGUAACGGAGGCGCCCAAAGGUUCCCUCAGCGCGAACGGAAACCGCGCAAAGAGUGUAAAGGCAGAAGGGAGCUUGACUGCGAGUCAGACACGACGAGCAGGUACGAAAGUAGGGCUUAGUGAUCCGGUGGUUCCGAGUGGAAGGGCCAUCGCUCAACGGAUAAAAGCUACCCUGGGGAUAACAGGCUAAUCUCUCCCAAGAGUCCAUAUCGACGGGGAGGUUUGGCACCUCGAUGUCGGCUCAUCACAUCCUGGGGCUGGAGCAGGUCCCAAGGGUUGGGCUGUUCGCCCAUUAAAGUGGUACGUGAGCUGGGUUCAGAACGUCGUGAGACAGUUCGGUCC
rnacentral:rRNA from 1 species